UACGAAGGGGGCUAGCGUUGUUCGGAAUCACUGGGCGUAAAGCGCACGUAGGCGGAUCUUUAAGUCAGAGGUGAAAUCCCAAGGCUCAACCUUGGAACUGCCUUUGAUACUGGGGAUCUUGAGUCCGGGAGAGGUGAGUGGAACUGCGAGUGUAGAGGUGAAAUUCGUAGAGUAUUGGGAAGAACACCGGUGGCGAAGGCGGCGUCACUGGCCCGAAACUGACGCUCAUGCACGACAGCGUGGGGAUCAAACAGG
rnacentral:rRNA from 1 species